UGCGAUCCUUUCCAUGCUGAGGAUGCCACGGUGCCUCAGAUCAUAUCUACUCGAACUGAACAAUGAUGUUUUGGGAAACCAAAUUUGGAAGAACGUGCCGAAGCUGCAGCAGUGUCCCAGGUUUGUUUUACACAGAUUGGGUGGGAGGAAGAGAUGUUUCCAGGUACUAGCUGAAGUCAACCAGCCAAUAGCUGACAACCAAUGGGUUGGAUUCCAGCAGAAUGGUUCAUCGUGACAGUCGAUGACUACAGGGUUUUCAGCGAUGGGUUUGAAGCCAGUAUGGAUGUUGUCUCCAGCCCAUGAAGCUACAUAAGGUUGACGUGAUGCCAGAAUUAUGUGCCAACGAUGGGCAUAUUCCUCUGAAUGCACAGACCUGUCACUCUGAUGGAGGUUUAUGCCAUGGCAGAAGAGUUGUGGUGACCGGUUUGGAGCACAACGCUGAGCUGUCAAGCUGUGUAGUACACUUGUUUGUGCCACUGUAUAUCAUUCUCAGAACAGUUUGAUUAAGUAACUGCUUGUUUUUGACUAAUAAAAUCACUUACAGCUCA
ensembl:lncRNA